CCAUUACUUUAGGGGUGUCUUCCGAAUAAACCGGAAGGCUGAGAAUUACCCUUUGAACCUGAACAGGAUCAUGCAUGCGGAGGGAAAAGUUGCCAAGUAUUU
rnacentral:ncRNA from 2 species